rnacentral:tRNA from 1 species
CCCUUGAUAGCUCAGUUGGUAGAGCGGUAGACUGUAAAUGGAUAAUAAUCUCGCAGCACCCAUCUAUAGGUCGCUGGUUCGACUCCGGCUCGAGGGA